rnacentral:rRNA from 1 species
GAUGAACGCUGGCGGCGUGCCUAAUACAUGCAAGUCGAGCGAACAGAUAAGGAGCUUGCUCCUUUGACGUUAGCGGCGGACGGGUGAGUAACACGUGGGUAACCUACCUAUAAGACUGGGAUAACUUCGGGAAACCGGAGCUAAUACCGGAUAAUAUUUCGAACCGCAUGGUUCGAUAGUGAAAGAUGGUUUUGCUAUCACUUAUAGAUGGACCCGCGCCGUAUUAGCUAGUUGGUAAGGUAACGGCUUACCAAGGCGACGAUACGUGGCCGACCUGAGAGGGUGAUCGGCCACACUGGAACUGAGACACGGUCCAGACUCCUACGGGAGGCAGCAGUAGGGAAUCUUCCGCAAUGGGCGAAAGCCUGACGGAGCAACGCCGCGUGAGUGAUGAAGGUCUUCGGAUCGUAAAACUCUGUUAUUAGGGAAGAACAUACGUGUAAGUAACUGUGCACGUCUUGACGGUACCUAAUCAGAAAGCCACGGCUAACUACGUG